rnacentral:ncRNA from 1 species
CAAAGAUAUGGUCCCGACCUUAAUAUCAGCCUUAACCAAACUUACACAUGCAAGUAUCCGCAACCCAGUGAAUACGCCCCCACCCCCCACCCAGGAAUCAAGGAGCAGGUAUCAGGAACAAAAAUUAGCCCAAGACGCCUAGCUAAGCCACACCCCCAAGGGAAUUCAGCAGUGAUAAACAUUAAGCAAUAGGUGAAAACCCGACUUAGUUAUGGUUUAAAGGGCCAGUAAAAUUCGUGCCAGCAACCGCGGUUAGACGAAUAGCCCUAGUUGAUAAAUUAACGGCGUAAAGUGUGGUUAGGAAAAACAAAUAAAGUUAAAUGACCCCUUGGCUGUUAUACGCUUCUAGGAGUCCGAAACCCAAACACGAAAGUUACUUUAACUUAUACACCUGAAUCCACGAAAGCUGAGAAACAAACUGGGAUUAGAUACCCCACUAUGCUCAGCCGUAAACCAAGACAAUUACAACGUCCGCCAGGAUAUUACGAGCAUCAGCUUAAAACCCAAAGGACCUGACGGUGCCUUAAACCCCCCUAGAGGAGCCUGUUCUAUAACCGACAAUCCCCGUUUAACCUCACCAUUUCUGGCCAACCCAGUCUAUAUACCACCGUCGCCAGCUUACCCUGUGAAGGAAUUAAAAUAAGCAAAAAGAGUACUACUCAAAACGUCAGGUCGAGGUGUAGCGAACGAAAUGGGAAGAAAUGGGCUACAUUUUCUGUAACAGAAAACCACGAAUAUACAUCAUGAAACAAUGUUUAAAGGAGGAUUUAGCAGUAAAAAGGAAAUAGAGUGUCCUUUUGAACCCGGCCCUAAGGCACGUACACACCGCCCGUCACUCUCUCCGGUCACAAUGCACAAAAUGUACAUAACCCACAAGCACUGACAAGAAGAGGCAAGUCGUAACAAGGUAAGCGUACCGGAAGGUGCACUUGGAAAACC